rnacentral:rRNA from 1 species
CCUACGGGAGGCAGCAGUGGGGAAUAUUGCACAAUGGGGGGAACCCUGAUGCAGCAACGCCGCGUGAAUGAAGAAGGCCUUUGGGUCGUAAAGUUCUGUUCUGAGGGAAGAAGAAAGUGACGGUACCUCAGGAGAAAGCCCCGGCUAACUACGUGCCAGCAGCCGCGGUAAUACGUAGGGGGCAAGCGUUGUCCGGAAUCAUUGGGCGUAAAGAGUACGUAGGCGGUCUGAUAAGCACAAGGUUUAAGGCAACAGCUCAACUGUUGUUCGCCUUGUGAACUGUUAGACUUGAGUGCGGGAGAGGAAAGCGGAAUUCCUGGUGUAGCGGUGAAAUGCGUAGAUAUCAGGAGGAAUACCGGUGGCGAAGGCGGCUUUCUGGACCGUAACUGACGCUGAGGUACGAAAGCGUGGGGAGCAAACAGGAUUAGAUACCCUAGUAGUC